CCAGCUUGCUGGGGGGAUUAGUGGCGAACGGGUGAGUAACACGUGAGUAACCUGCCCUUGACUCUGGGAUAAGCCUGGGAAACCGGGUCUAAUACUGGAUACGACCUUCUGGCGCAUGCCAUGUUGGUGGAAAGCUUUUGUGGUUUUGGAUGGACUCGCGGCCUAUCAGCUUGUUGGUGGGGUAAUGGCCUACCAAGGCGACGACGGGUAGCCGGCCUGAGAGGGUGACCGGCCACACUGGGACUGAGACACGGCCCAGACUCCUACGGGAGGCAGCAGUGGGGAAUAUUGCACAAUGGGCGCAAGCCUGAUGCAGCGACGCCGCGUGAGGGAUGAAGGCCUUCGGGUUGUAAACCUCUUUCAGUAGGGAAGAAGCCGCUCCUUUGGGGGUGGUGACGGUACCUGCAGAAGAAGCGCCGGCUAACUACGUGCCAGCAGCCGCGGUAAUACGUAGGGCGCAAGCGUUAUCCGGAAUUAUUGGGCGUAAAGAGCUCGUAGGCGGUUUGUCGCGUCUGCCGUGAAAGUCCGGGGCUUAACUCCGGAUCUGCGGUGGGUACGGGCAGACUAGAGUGCAGUAGGGGAGACUGGAAUUCCUGGUGUAGCGGUGAAAUGCGCAGAUAUCAGGAGGAACACCGAUGGCGAAGGCAGGUCUCUGGGCUGUAACUGACGCUGAGGAGCGAAAGCAUGGGGAGCGAACAGGAUUAGAUACCCUGGUAGUCCAUGCCGUAAACGUUGGGCACUAGGUGUGGGGGACAUUCCACGUUUUCC
rnacentral:rRNA from 1 species